AGAAUCGUUAACCAAUCAAAUUUAAGCACAUGUAAGUAUGCCUUAAUUGGCAUCCGAAUAGCUGUAGUUGGAUUCGAUUUAUUCAAGUGUCAAUCAGUUUUUGCUAUGUGUUUUUCAAAAUAUUAUAAAUUUAUAAAUAAUAUAUCUCACGAGAUAAAAUAGAUAUAAUAAAAUUUAAAUUGAAAAUACGAUAACAUAUCAUUUACUGAAUACAUUUUACAGUGAAUAUAAUAAUUUUUAACUUAACCUACAAGUAUAUGAAGUACAUAAAUAUCAUUACGAAUAAACUUUCUACGCGAUCUAUAUAGUAAUUUCCAUGACUCGAAGGAACAACAAGCGAAGACAUUUACUGUUAUGAUGCUGUAAUUCUCUUACGAGAACGGAAUGGCAACUUUCUUGCCACGCCUAAUGUCAAGAGCGCCAUUUUGUGUCCUAUACUCUUCGUUCCAUCCAUUCUCUGUAUCUGAUGUGUUCAUUUCCAAAAGGACAAGUUAAACAGUAACUCGAACUCGUGCAAGAUUCUAAUCUACUUUAAAUUUUCUUUACCGAAAAAUAACUUUAUCACCAGGAAAUUAAAUCUGAAUUAACAGAGAAAUUGCCUAUUAAAAAUUCCUUUAAACAAGAUAUUGUAUCAUUGAAAAGACAAAGGAUGAAAAAUAUAUAAUUAAAACAUACCAGAAUUAGUGUGACCGUGUCCAGCCCCAGUGCUAUUUGUCGCCGAGUGAACAGCAUUGCUUGCAGCAUUCGCAACAUGUUUCAAUGCGCUUAUCACCAUCAUAUCUUCAACUACACUUGAAUCACGACUGUUCCAUCCAGGUCUUCCAGGUUUAACAAGAUACAUCAUCUUGUACGGAAAGAGAAUUAUUAUUUGAUUAUUGCGUUGGAUGAAAGGACCGAAUUUUUAACGAAAUUUUUAAUAGGUUUGAUUAAAUAUUCAUUCACAUUGGAAAAGAAGAUUAAAAUUAUUACAAAUGAAAUAUUUCAUUAAUUAUUGAUGAAUCGGUCAUUUACAUGUGCAAUAAUCUAAAGAAUAGAGUUAUGAGACAAUUUCAACACAAUUUCUGGAUCGUUCGCGCGUCUAAUCGAACCGACUUGGAGAGGUCGAGGAACGCGUGGAAAAUGUGGAAAAACGAAUGUUCAAAGGAACACAGCCAGUCAUGACUGUCGUCUAGACACGACUAAAAGUCGUUCCAGCGCGUAGAGAAUGCGAAAGCCAAUCGCCGCUGGCACACAGACAACCGAGAGAGGUUGGUGGUUGCCACGUCCCCUCUUCUCCUUCGGCCUUCUUCGGCUGAGUUUCACCUUUGCGGAAGCUUCGAACGGGCUGAGUGUAGGUGUUGGACAACAGCGGUGGGAUCCACUCUAUUUCGCCAUCAAGAGGCUGAUGACCUGGCUAAGCGUUACACGCCACGGACUUUGCAAUAAUCGAAUUGUUAGGCUCGAUAGUUUUGCGUUUUCGACCUAGUUCAGAAACGAUACCUUCUACCCUACUGUCCUCAAGCAUCAAGAGUGUCUAUAAUCUUGUGACGAAUGGACCGUGAAAUUGAUGGAGAAGAGAUACCGUUUGAUCCCUUUGAGAUGAAUUGACUUAAUUGUUUUGAUAUUUAAAAUUUGAACAUGUGCAAAAUUCGGAUUUACAUCUACGGCUGAAGGAAAUUCUAUUAUGGAACAAACGAUAUUUUAAUUUUUAAAUAAUUUCUUUUCCCUUUCACUCAUCGUUUUUUUUUUCUACAUUGGAUAAAAUAACAAAGGAACUCACAACUUUGAUAGAGUAAAAUUAAUUAAGAAUUAAGAAUUAAUUUAUUCUUGAAUUUUUUGACACGAGAAGAAGUUUAAUUGGGUUAAUUGGUUUCCACGCGAUUACGCGAAUGAAGCAUCUGA